rnacentral:rRNA from 1 species
UGGCGAACGGGUGAGUAACGCGUGAGGAACCUGCCUCAAAGAGGGGGACAACAGUUGGAACGACUGCUAAUACCGCAUAAGCCCACGGGUCGGCAUCGACCUGAGGGAAAGGAGCAAUCCGCUUUGAGAUGGCCUCGCGUCCGAUUAGCUAGUUGGUGGGGUAACGGCCCACCAAGGCGACGAUCGGUAGCCGGACUGAGAGGUUGAACGGCCACAUUGGGACUGAGACACGGCCCAG